rnacentral:rRNA from 1 species
UAGGGAAUCUUCCGCAAUGGGCGAAAGCCUGACGGAGCAACGCCGCGUGAGUGAUGAAGGUCUUCGGAUCGUAAAACUCUGUUAUUAGGGAAGAACAUAUGUGUAAGUAACUGUGCACAUCUUGACGGUACCUAAUCAGAAAGCCACGGCUAACUACGUGCCAGCAGCCGCGGUAAUACGUAGGUGGCAAGCGUUAUCCGGAAUUAUUGGGCGUAAAGCGCGCGUAGGCGGUUUUUUAAGUCUGAUGUGAAAGCCCACGGCUCAACCGUGGAGGGUCAUUGGAAACUGGAAAACUUGAGUGCAGAAGAGGAAAGUGGAAUUCCAUGUGUAGCGGUGAAAUGCGCAGAGAUAUGAAGGAACACCAGUGGCGAAGGCGACUUUCUGGUCUGUAACUGACGCUGAUGUGCGAAAGCGUGGGGAUCAAACAGGAUUAGAUACCCUGGUAGUCCACGCCGUAACGAUGAGUGCUAAGUGUUAGGGGGUUUCCGCCCCUUAGUGCUGCAGCUAACGCAUUAAGCACUCCGCCUGGGGGGUACGACCGCAAGGUUG